rnacentral:tRNA from 1 species
GAAAAAUUAGUUAAUUAAUAACAUUAUUUUGUCAAAAUAAAAUUAUUCCUAUGAAUAUUUUUCU